AGAGUUGAUCCUGGCUCAGGAUGAACGCUAGCUACAGGCUUAACACAUGCAAGUCGAGGGGAAACGACAUCGAAAGCUUGCUUUUGAUGGGCGUCGACCGGCGCACGGGUGAGUAACGCGUAUCCAACCUGCCCACCACUUGGGGAUAACCUUGCGAAAGUAAGACUAAUACCCAAUGAUACCUCUAGAAGACAUCUGAAAGAAGAUUAAAGUAAUUCUAUCGGUGAUGGAUGGGGAUGCGUCUGAUUAGCUUGUUGGCGGGGUAACGGCCCACCAAGGCAACGAUCAGUAGGGGUUCUGAGAGGAAGGUCCCCCACAUUGGAACUGAGACACGGUCCAAACUCCUACGGGAGGCAGCA
rnacentral:rRNA from 1 species